rnacentral:lncRNA from 1 species
AAAGCAAGUCACAAAGCCUGCCCUGAGUCAAGGGAGAGGAAAUGGCUUCUAUUUCUCUAAAGGAGGAACAAUAUGCACACAUAGGGAGAGAUGAAUCAACAGUGGCCAUCUUUGGAGACUAUCUACUGCAGAUUUUAUAAGGGCGCAGAUGAAGGACGCUCUUUUCUGCUUCAGCUGCAUCGCGAGAGCUCAGAAGCUCAGUCAAUGCAAAACAGAAGGCACUGAGGGAAAAUUUCAGAUGAGAAUGGACGUACCCUCUCCAGAGGCAAAGAAGUUUGCAAAUUACUUUUUGAAGCCCUCUCUAUAUAAUUUUGAGGUGAGGUGGGGAGGAGCAGAUGUUUUGCCUCUAGUGAGACAAUAAUUUACUUCCCUAUUAUUGUUUGACUUUGCCUUGUUUCUGCCUAUGAAUUACUAACAGAGGCUUGCAGCACUAUCUAUGGGGCCUGAAACAUACAAUAAGGGGCCAGAAGGCCUUGAGAGAGCUGAAAAAGAAAUCAUCACCCUAGCCUCACCCAGUCACCUGUCUCCAGGCAAAAUAAUUCCCUGUCCUUCAUGAUGAUUCGGAGAAGACCAGCCCCACUCAGCUGCUGUUGCCAACCAACCAUAGUUCUUGUUACCCUGGGCCACAAGUGCCUUAUCCACUAGAUUGAGAAAGUUAAUGCCAGAGGGAAGUGAGAAACUAACUAUGGAAGAGUGGACCCAUGUUGCAAAAACAAAGUUCUAGGGAAAGACGUGAACAAAGAUGGGUGAGUAUGAAUGGGGUCUGACUGGAACAUGGCAGAGAAGAAAUUCAACUAUGCAAUGAGAUAAAGCAAAGAUUCUAAUGAAAGACUGAUGUGGUCAUAAACAAACAAACAAACAAACAAAAAACAGGUGCCCAAUGAAUACUUCUAACUGAAAAAAAAUCUGAAGAUGCUGGUCAGAGGAUCCUCAGGAGGGAAAAAACCUGACUUUCCUUGGUAAGGGCCUGUGGAGCAAGUAAUUGCAGCUUGAACCAUGGGGUCUCCUUGGAGCUGCGGGCACCAAGCAUCAGAUCUGAACACAGAAGCUGGGCCAGUUUGUUAAGUAGGGUGCGGCAGAGACUGUUAGUUGCCUAUCCAAUAUCCAGUCUCCUCUUUUUCCUUGGUCACAUAACCCAGAUUUUAAUCUGGGUGGCAGUGUGCUCAGCUGAAAGACUACACUUGGAAGCCACAUUUGCAGCCUGAGGGCCAGUGAGACAUAAGCAGAAGUUGUUGGGUAGUCUUCUGUGGACUCCUUAAGAGGGAAUAGACUACUCACAGACUCCUUUUUCUCCUUCUCCCUUCCUUCCAUGCCUUUCUGGAACAGGAAGUUUAACAUGAUGAUUGGCGCUCUAGCUGUCACAUUGGACCAUGAAGUUAUGUUGUUUUUUUUUUUAAUUAAUUUUUAGUUUUAUUUCAGUGGUUUUGGGGGUAUAGGUGGUUUUUGAUUCCACG